AUUGAACGCUGGCGGCAGGCCUAACACAUGCAAGUCGAGCGGUAGAGAGGAGCUUGCUUCUCUUGAGAGCGGCGGACGGGUGAGUAAUGCCUAGGAAUCUGCCUGGUAGUGGGGGAUAACGUUCGGAAACGGACGCUAAUACCGCAUACGUCCUACGGGAGCAAGUGGGGGAUCUUCGGACCUCACGCUAUCAGAUGAGCCUAGGUCGGAUUAGCUAGUUGGUGAGGUAAAGGCUCACCAAGGCGACGAUCCGUAACUGGUCUGAGAGGAUGAUCAGUUACACUGGAACUGAGACACGGUCCAGACUCCUACGGGAGGCAGCAGUGGGGAAUAUUGGACAAUGGGCGCAAGCCUGAUCCAGCCAUGCCGCGUGUGUGAAGAAGGUCUUCGGAUUGUAAAGCACUUUAAGUUGGGAGGAAGGGUAUUCACCUAAUACGUGGGUACUUUGACGUUACCAACAGAAUAAGCACCGGCUAACUCUGUGCCAGCCGCCGCGGUAA
rnacentral:rRNA from 1 species